AUUACUUUGGCAGAAUAGUGCGUUGAAUUUAGGAUUCAUUUAAGAAAUAUUUUAAUUUUCAAGUAAUA
rnacentral:tRNA from 1 species